rnacentral:rRNA from 1 species
GACGAACGCUGGCGGCGUGCUUAACACAUGCAAGUCGAGCGGUAAGGCUCCUUCGGGAGUACACGAGCGGCGAACGGGUGAGUAACACGUGAGCAAUCUGCCCUUCACACUGGGAUAACCCUCGGAAACGAGAGCUAAUACCAGAUAUGACCACUUCGGGCAUCCGAUGGUGGUGGAAAGUUCCGGCGGUGAAGGAUGAGCUCGCGGCCUAUCAGCUUGUUGGUGAGGUAAUGGCUCACCAAGGCUUCGACGGGUAGCCGGCCUGAGAGGGUGACCGGCCACACUGGGACUGAGACACGGCCCAGACUCCUACGGGAGGCAGCAGUGGGGAAUCUUGCGCAAUGGGCGGAAGCCUGACGCAGCAACGCCGCGUGAGGGAUGACGGCCUUCGGGUUGUAAACCUCUUUCGCGAUCGACGAAGGCCCUCCUUGUUGGGGGUUGACGGUAGGUCGAGAAGAAGCACCGGCCAACUACGUGCCAGCAGCCGCGGUAACAC